GAUGAAGAACGCAGCGAAAUGCGAUACUUGGUGUGAAUUGCAGAAUCCCGUGAACCAUCGAGUCUUUGAACGCAAGUUGCGCCUCAAGCCAUUAGGUUGAGGGCACGUCUGCCUGGGCGUCACAUAUCGUUGCCUGAUGCCAGUUUCCUCGUGAUGGGUGACUGUGCAGGGCGAAUGAUGGCUUCCCGUGAGCAUUGUUGCCUCAUGGUUGGUUGAAAAUUGAGUCCUUGGUAGGGAGCGCCGUGAUAGAUGGUGGUUGAGUGACGAACGAGACCCAAUCAUGUGAGACCCCUACCGAAUUUGGCCUUCAUGACCCACAUGCGUCUUUGGAACGCUCAUGACGAGACCUCAGGUCAGGCGGGGCUACCCGCUGAGUUUAAGCAUAUCAAUAAGGAGGA
rnacentral:misc_RNA from 1 species